AAAAUCCGUNGAACUUUAGAAAUCGUGAGGGUUCAAGUCCCUCUAUCCCCA
rnacentral:tRNA from 1 species